rnacentral:lncRNA from 1 species
UGGUUGGUAGUCCAGAGGGUGGAGCUAGAGCCCUACUUGCAUACCCUUGAGAGUCAGCCUCUUUCGUACAUUCUCUUUGUAGAUGAUUGGUUGCUUAUUGGUCAGACCUCAGUCCGAAAUGUGAGGUGCUUUGCAACUAUUAUUGAGGCCUAUUGCCAAAUCUCUGGUCAGCUCAUGAAUCUUUAGAAGUCCACUGUUACUUUCAGCCCCA